rnacentral:sRNA from 1 species
ACAUGGUUUACAAAUCAUUUUAAAGCGUAAGUAAGUAGCAUAUAUUAAUUUACAAAAGAUUUUAAAAGCUUUGAAAAGUGGUUAACAUGGUUUACAAAUCGUUUUAAAGCGUAAGUAAGUAGCAUAGAAUAAUUUACAAGGGAUUUUAAAAGCUUUGAAAAUUGGUUAACAUGGUUUACAAAUCGUUUUAAAGCGUAAGUAGCAUAGAAUAAUUUACAAGGGAUUUUAAAAGCUUUGAAAAGUGGUUAACAUGGUUUACAAAUCGUUUUAAAGCGUAAGUGGCAUAGAUCUAUCACGAAAGCAUAUGCAAAAGAGGUAAACACUAAAUCAGAACCAAAAUCUAUUACGAAAUAGUAUAACGAAUUCACAUAAGCAAAUCUAUCACGAAACAGUAUAACGAAUUUAAAAGGAUUUUAGAACAGUAUAACGAAUGUACAAGGAUUUUAGAAACAAAUUCAAUCAUCAAAUCUCAAACAAAAUUCAAAUUUGAAGCUGAAGCAAAUGUCAAACUGUCGAUUGUAUCAGGAUUCAAAUAACGAGUUCACAUAAUCAACAACAAAAAUCGAAUAAACCAAUUCGAAAACGAAGAUUUAAGCUAACAUUAUAAAAUCAAACCUGGGAAACGCAAGAGAUUCGACGGCGACACACAGCUCUACUUACGACGGCGAAAAUGGGUUUUCACGGCGAGUAAACUCAUUAUUUCCGACGGCAUGGGAUUCAACGGCAUUCACAAUUUCCGAUGGAGGAAGAAGAGAGAGAGUGAAGAAAUGAAUUAGGUCUGUGGGUAGCUCAUUAAGGGUAAUUUGGGGAGAAAAGUAUUAGAAAGGGUAGAAAUGAAAAUGGGAAAAAAGGGUAGAGUUGCAAAAGGGCAUUGAGAAAAGGGCAUUAGAGUGAAUUAUAAUAGAAUAAUUGCUGAGAAUGCCCUUUGCCUACUACCCUUUUUCAAUUCUACCCUUUUCUAUUUGCCCUUUUUAUUUCUACCCUUUUUAAUUUUUAAUGACCAUUUUACCCCUAUUUGGAAAUUGUUUUAGGUUAACAAAAUGAAAUAUUAAUACUGUUUGCAUAAAAUAAUCCAAAAUAAAUUUCCCGCCAAACUUUUACCGCCAAAAAUUUUCGAAAAAAAAGUUCCCGUCAAAAAUUUCCAAAAAAAAAU